UUUUUUAAAUUAUUUUUCUCUACAGUUAUUAGUUGGCCCGAUUCCAUGCAGGCUAAUUUUUGAUUGACCAAGUCAACUGUCCAACACAAGGUAUUUUCACAUUGCAUCACAAUUAAUUAGUCUAUAAACAUCGAUGCCACACUUCCAUAUCACGGUUCAUAGUUCACAUUCCCCAUAAGCUGAAAUAAACAAGCUACAUCACCACCUGAUACAACACACGUAGCAUCAACACACACUAAGAAACAGAUUAACAAAUGAGUGGUCAUGACUCCCAAACAUAAUUGUACAGCUCUCCUCUUCUUCAAAGGCACAUUUGCUGAACGCUUUUUCUCCGGACUUCUUGUAGGUGGCUAGAGUUGCUCUGGUCCUUACUGUCCAUCCCAACUUUUUGAAAGAUGAUUUGCAUAUCAUCCCAUCACAAGAAUAAGGCUAGAACUUGCGACAAAGACAUAAGCAAAUCGGUAAGCAAGAGUUACAAAAAAACAUAUAUCAUUGCAAUAAAAUUCCACAGUUUAGUACUAACCAUGUUCUCCUGACUGUAGCUUAUGUAAAUAUUACCUAAAAUUCUACAUUUUACAAGACACUACUUUUCGUAAUAUCCAUCAUGACAUUUUAUCUAUACUAAUAAGAGAACUAUAUCAAAAUGAAAAUGACAAAUAAAUUUAGUGGCUUGAGAUAUCUAACCAGAACAAAAGAAGCCAUUAUCUUUCUCACACAAACCACCAAGAUCAUUACCAUCAAAGAUCUGCUAGUCAAAUAGGACCCCAAUUUGUGAAAGAUCCAUUUUCUUCAAAAGGAAGCAUCACUCUGCCUCGAUAACCAUAACUUGGGCCCCUAAAGACCAACCAAGAGAUUUAUCAAGUUGUAUAUGGAAAGAGUAUGGUCAUCAUAAGAGGUAUUGUCUGUUUUUUGUCUGAACUUUAGCACACACAUAUAUAGUCAGGACAACAGAUUCAUUGUUGUUGCAAGUGGGCUGAAAAAUUAAAGCUCAGUUACAUAUCUGAGAUUAUUGGUGAUUGAGUUUUACGACGAAGUCAUCAUUGACAUCUUCACUGUAAUGGACUCUUCUCUUGGCUUUUGCACUAUACUCCACAUUCAGUGAUUUAUUAUGCUAUCUUAUCAUAAGCUUUCUUUGUUGCCUAUGGAGAUAAUAGCCCAUGCUCCAUUAAC
rnacentral:lncRNA from 1 species